CACGUAGGGCGCAAGCGUUAUCCGGAAUCACUGGGCGUAAAGCGUCUGUAGGUGGUCAAAUAAGUCAACUGUUAAAUCUUGAGGCUUAACCUCAAAAUCGCAGUCGAAACUAUUAGACUAGAGUAUAGUAGGGGUAAAGGGAAUUUCCAGUGGAGCGGUGAAAUGCGUAGAGAUUGGAAAGAACACCGGUGGCGAAAGCGCUCUACUGGGCCUGCACUGACACUCAUGGACGAAAGCUAGGGGAGCGAAAGGG
rnacentral:rRNA from 1 species